CAAAAUAGCAUUACUUGAAGUGCCUUUCCCCCUGUAAUCCGACUCCAUCGUCUUUAACAUGUUUGGAAUUGUGUACACAGUUUAUUGUUAUUGGUUUCCUUAGCCUUUUUAGAACCAAGCAACGCCAAUUACCAACAAAAUCCGUUGCGCCGCAGUGAGUUAGCUACCUUCUAUCUCCACUUUGUCCUGCAUGUCGAUCUCAGGUCACCCACCGGUCUGAAGAGGAGGAUGAGAGACAAAGAAAAAAGUUGUCUGGCUGCCUCUGCUGUCUACAGAUUGAAGAAGAUCCAUCCAGCUGAGCCCAGCCUAGACCAGCUGACUUCUCCAAUAAGCCUGUAUGAAAUAAAUGCUUAUUGUUAUGUG
rnacentral:lncRNA from 1 species